rnacentral:lncRNA from 1 species
UUUUAGCUAGGAGUUUCGAAGAGAUGAAGUUGGCUCUCCAAAUCUGAAUUUUAGGUCAUUUUCAUGGCAAGUUCAUCAUGCAACCUUGAGCCAAAGCUACAUAAUCUUACUCUGCAGGCUAUCAUGCUUCUAAAUCUCAUUAUAAUCAUAAGAUCAUACACACUUUUGAGCCAUUAUCUAAGCAACCAAGCCACUACACAAUGAAUCAUUCCAUUUUUGACACAAAGGUUACACUUCCAUUUGUGUAAAGUGG